AUCUUCGGAUGUGUAUAAAGUGGCGAACGGCUGAGUAACACGUGGGCAACCUGCCCUUUGCACUGGGAUAGCCUCGGGAAACCGAGGUUAAUACCGGAUACUCCAUAUUUGUCGCAUGGCGAAUAUGGGAAAGCUCCGGCGGCAAAGGAUGGGCCCGCGGCCUGUUAGCUAGUUGGUAGGGUAGUGGCCUACCAAGGCAAUGAUGGGUAGCCGGGUUGAGAGACCGACCGGCCAGAUUGGGACUGAGACACGGCCCAGACUCCUACGGGAGGCAGCAGUGGGGAAUCUUGCACAAUGGGCGAAAGCCUGAUGCAGCGACGCCGCGUGCGGGAUGAAGGCCUUCGGGUUGUAAACCGCUUUCAGCAGGGACGAGGCCGCAAGGUGACGGUACCUGCAGAAGAAGCCCCGGCUAACUACGUGCCAGCAGCCGCGGUAAUACGUAGGGGGCAAGCGUUAUCCGGAUUCAUUGGGCGUAAAGCGCGCGUAGGCGGUCUGUUAGGUCAGGAGUUAAAUCUGGGGGCUCAACCCCUAUCCGCUCCUGAUACCGGCAGGCUUGAGUCUGGUAGGGGAAGAUGGAAUUCCAAGUGUAGCGGUGAAAUGCGCAGAUAUUUGGAAGAACACCGGUGGCGAAGGCGGUCUUCUGGGCCAUGACUGACGCUGAGGCGCGAAAGCUAGGGGAGCGAACAGGAUUAGAUACCCUGGUAGUCCUAGCUGUAAACGAUGGACACUAGGUGUGGGGAGAUUAUACUUUCCGUGCCGC
rnacentral:rRNA from 1 species